rnacentral:lncRNA from 10 species
CUUUUCCAGGAUUUCCUUUCUGGAAAUCCUGCCACACUGGUCCAUUUUCUAUCACCAAACCCCCUUCAAUCCUCACACCUCUGAGCAGUCACUCCUCUGUUCCUCUUAGUAGGAGAUGCUCUUCCUGUCUGACUCUAUGGCUUAUUGCUGCUGCAUCAGAUGGGCUGCCUGAACAGUUCAGGACUUCCUUUCAUCGGACCCAGCCAGUGCCUUGCACAGAACCCAUUCCCAAGAAGAUUUGCAGUGUGAAAAUGGACCAUACUGUGGAAUAAGAGAGCAGAAAGUCAUCUAAUCUACUCCCCAGGCUUUAGGCAGCACGGUGUCAAAACCAACCUAGAUUUCCAGAAUAGAUCGUUCUACCACCUCCUCUGGAAUUUGAAUGCCAUCGAAUGCAACCUGAGUCUAUUUUCUUUUAUUCUAUGUUGACUGAGGACAACUAUUUUCUUGUUUAAAAAAAAACCAAAACAUUAAAAUAGCAUUUUAAGGUUAAUUGACAAUGUUAAUAAGUGGCAAACUUAGGCCUCAAAUAGAAGAUGAUAAGUAACUUGAAAUGUUUGGAAAAAGAUGAUCUAUAUUUAAUAAAACUCCAUCAGUGAGUGAAAAGUUUCAUUAUUAGCAUUUUCACUGUUCUGUCUCUCAUAGUCUACAGUUAUAUUAGCAAACUUGCAUUUCACUUUAUGGAAACUUGUCUCCAUUAUGAUUUAGUUCAAUGGUUUCCUUCUCAUACUAUUUCAGCUAGAGAGUCAUUUCAUUAUGCUGGGAAGUUUCUGAACAUGUAAUGUAAUUAAUUCCUUUAAUAGACUCCUCUUUAUGGAAGACCCAUUAGUAGACAUCACUGUGAAUUAACAUCUUAGUCCAGGAAAAAAGCUCUUUGGAGGCAACAGUGAAACAGCUAAAUCUUUGUUGAGAGAUGCGACCAGAGGAUUUAACCGCAUUCCUUGUGGUUUCAGAAUGACAUGCAUAUUCUGGGACCCACAGAUAGGGAGAGAUACUUGUCAUUCUCAGUAAUGCCCUGACCACACCAAUUCUUUAACAUACAGAGAUAGUUCUAAAUGUUAUAAUUUCUUAGAAGAAAACAUCAUGGGGUUGUGCACAUUGAAGGCAGGGGAAUGAAGUGAAAAUCUGCCCACUGGCUAAUGCCUAUGAAGUAAGGCUACUGGCUUUCUUUUAACUGACAAGUUAAAAGUACACUUGAAGGCUUCUGGACAACUUCCUUCUAUAUCAACCUACUAAGGAUUGGUCUUCCCUCUGAAUCUCGAUGAAUAGCAAUGAACUCUUUCUGUGUGGGUCUGAAUAUUUUCUUAUAUUAUUUUUACAUAUGAUCACUGGAAGCCGAUUGUUCUGAGUUCAAAAUUCUGACUUUGCUAUGUACUAACUGUGUGACCUUCAUCAAGUGAUUUAACUUCUCUGUAUCUUAGAUAUCUUAUCAGAAAUUGAGAUAAAAGCAGUACCUGCUUCAGUUGGUGAAGAGGAUUAAAUGAAUGAGCACAUGUAGGUGCUUAAUGGAGUGUCUGGCCUGGAGUAAGUGCCACUGAUGUUGACUGGUAUUGUGAUUAACUCUGCUGAGUGGAGGUCCCACCACGGGCAUGCAGGCCUGUAACACGAAAGCUGAAAAACUCUGACAAAGCAGAGGAGUUGGUGCCUGGGCCUGGGGAGGGUGGGCUGGCGGCAAAGGGACACAAGGGAACUUCUGGGGUGACAGAAAUACUCUAUAUAGUGGUUACCCCAGUGUAAGUUAAAAAACAUUCAAACAAUUGUUUCCCUGAUUAUCCCAUUUAAUAUACUAGUCCAGGCUCUAAUCGCCUUACAUCUGUAUUAAUGCAAUAGUCUCCUGGUUGAUUUUUCUGUCCCUGAGCUCUUUCUUUUUUAAUUCCUCCUUGGCGUACCCAUGCUCACUCCCAUUUCUGGGGCUACUUCAAUAAUCAUGCCUAGAACAGUAUAUGAGCCAUUUGUUUAAAAGGGAGGGAAAGAAAUAAAUGUGCGUAAGCAAGUAUGUUUGCUUGUUUAUGCCUAAAAUAGCUCUGGAAAGACAUAUGAGAAAGCGUUUAUGUUAGUUCCCUAUGGGGAAGGAAACUGGAUGGCUGAGGGACU